UACGUAGGGUGCGAGCGUUGUCCGGAAUUAUUGGGCGUAAAGCGCGUGUAGGCGGCUGGGUAGGUCCGCUGUGAAAACUCGAGGCUCAACCUCGAGACGUCGGCGGAAACCAUCCAGCUAGAGUCCGGAAGAGGAGAGUGGAAUUCCUGGUGUAGCGGUGAAAUGCGCAGAUAUCAGGAAGAACACCCGUGGCGAAAGCGGCUCUCUGGAACGGUACUGACGCUGAGACGCGAAAGCGUGGGGAGCGAACAGG
rnacentral:rRNA from 1 species